rnacentral:lncRNA from 1 species
GGAGUGUUUUAAAGGCCACUCACGGCACGGCCCUGUCAGAUUCCAAUGAAUCUGUGAAUUCUGCU